UACGAAGGGGGCUAGCGUUGCUCGGAAUGACUGGGCGUAAAGAGCUCGUAGGCGGUGUGUCACGUCGGCCGUGAAAACCUGGGGCUUAACUCUGGGCGUGCGGUCGAUACGGGCAUCACUAGAGUUCGGCAGGGGAGACUGGAAUUCCUGGUGUAGCGGUGAAAUGCGCAGAUAUCAGGAGGAACGCCGGUGGCGAAGGCGGGUCUCUGGGCCGAUACUGACGCUGAGGAGCGAAAGCAUGGGUAGCGAACAGG
rnacentral:rRNA from 1 species